rnacentral:ncRNA from 2 species
ACUAUGACUCUCUUAAGGUA